AGUGAACGCUGGCGGUAGGCCUAACACAUGCAAGUCGAACGGCAGCACAGUAAGAGCUUGCUCUUACGGGUGGCGAGUGGCGGACGGGUGAGGAAUACAUCGGAAUCUACUUUUUCGUGGGGGAUAACGUAGGGAAACUUACGCUAAUACCGCAUACGACCUACGGGUGAAAGCAGGGGAUCUUCGGACCUUGCGCGAUUGAAUGAGCCGAUGUCGGAUUAGCUAGUUGGCGGGGUAAAGGCACACCAAGGCGACGCUCCGUAGCUGGUCUGAGAGGAUGAUCAGCCACACUGGAACUGAGACACGGUCCAGACUCCUACGGGAGGCAGCAGUGGGGAAUAUUGGACAAUGGGCGCAAGCCUGAUCCAGCCAUACCGCGUGGGUGAAGAAGGCCUUCGGGUUGUAAAGCCCUUUUGUUGGGAAAGAAAAGCAGCAGGUUAAUACCCCGCUGUUCUGACGGUACCCAAAGAAUAAGCACCGGCUAACUUCGUG
rnacentral:rRNA from 1 species